rnacentral:rRNA from 1 species
GAGUUUGAUCCUGGCUCAGAGCGAACGCUGGCGGCAGGCUUAACACAUGCAAGUCGAACGGGCGUAGCAAUACGUCAGUGGCAGACGGGUGAGUAACGCGUGGGAACAUACCUCUUGGUUCGGAACAACACAGGGAAACUUGUGCUAAUACCGGAUAAGCCCUUACGGGGAAAGAUUUAUCGCCGAGAGAUUGGCCCGCGUCUGAUUAGCUAGUUGGUAGGGUAAUGGCCUACCAAGGCGACGAUCAGUAGCUGGUCUGAGAGGAUGAUCAGCCACAUUGGGACUGAGACACGGCCCAAACUCCUACGGGAGGCAGCAGUGAGGAAUAUUGGACAAUGGGCGCAAGCCUGAUCCAGCCAUGCCGCGUGAGUGAUGAAGGCCCUAGGGUUGUAAAGCUCUUUUGUACGGGAAGAUAAUGACGGUACCGUAAGAAUAAGCCCCGGCUAACUUCGUGCCAGCAGCCGCGGUAAUACGAAGGGGGCUAGCGUUGCUCGGAAUCACUGGGCGUAAAGGGUGCGUAGGCGGGUUUUUAAGUCAGAGGUGAAAUCCUGGAGCUCAACUCCAGAACUGCCUUUGAUACUGAAAGUCUUGAGUAUGGGAGAGGUGAGUGGAACUGCGAGUGUAGAGGUGAAAUUCGUAGAUAUUCGCAAGAACACCAGUGGCGAAGGCGGCUCACUGGCCCAUAACUGACGCUGAGGCACGAAAGCGUGGGGAGCAAACAGGAUUAGAUACCCUGGUAGCCCACGCCGUAAACGAUGAAUGCCAGCCGUUAGUGGGUUUACUCACUAGUGGCGCAGCUAACGCUUUAAGCAUUCCGCCUGGGGAGUACGGUCGCAAGAUUAAAACUCAAAGGAAUUGACGGGGGCCCGCACAAGCGGUGGAGCAUGUGGUUUAAUUCGACGCAACGCGCAGAACCUUACCAGCCCUUGACAUGUCUAUGACCGGCACCAGAGAUGGAGCCUUCCCUUCGGGGCAUAGAGCACAGGUGCUGCAUGGCUGUCGUCAGCUCGUGUCGUGAGGUGUUGGGUUAAGUCCCGCAACGAGCGCAACCCCCGUCCUUAGUUGCUACCAUUUAGUUGGGCACUCUAAGGAGACUGCCGGUGAUAAGCCGCGAGGAAGGUGGGGAUGACGUCAAGUCCUCAUGGCCCUUACGGGCUGGGCUACACACGUGCUACAAUGGCGGUGACAAUGGGAUGCAAAGGGGCGACCCCUCGCAAAUCUCAAAAAGCCGUCUCAGUUCGGAUUGGGCUCUGCAACUCGAGCCCAUGAAGUUGGAAUCGCUAGUAAUCGUGGAUCAGCAUGCCACGGUGAAUACGUUCCCGGGCCUUGUACACACCGCCCGUCACACCAUGGGAGUUGGUUCUACCUGAAGGCAGUGCGCUAACCGCAAGGGGGCAGCUGACCACGGUAGGGUCAGCGACUGGGGUGAAGUCGUAACAAGGU